GUGAACGCUGGCGGUAGACCUAACACAUGCAAGUCGAACGGCAGCACAGUAAGAGCUUGCUCUUACGGGUGGCGAGUGGCGGACGGGUGAGGAAUACAUCGGAAUCUACUUUUUCGUGGGGGAUAACGUGGGGAAACUUACGCUAAUACCGCAUACGACCUACGGGUGAAAGCAGGGGAUCUUCGGACCUUGCGCGAUUGAAUGAGCCGAUGUCGGAUUAGCUAGUUGGCGGGGUAAAGGCCCACCAAGGCGACGAUCCGUAGCUGGUCUGAGAGGAUGAUCAGCCACACUGGAACUGAGACACGGUCCAGACUCCUACGGGAGGCAGCAGUGGGGAAUAUUGGACAAUGGGCGCAAGCCUGAUCCAGCCAUACCGCGUGGGUGAAGAAGGCCUUCGGGUUGUAAAGCCCUUUUGUUGGGAAAGAAAAGCAGCAGGUUAAUACCCCGCUGUUCUGACGGUACCCAAAGAAUAAGCACCGGCUAACUUCGUG
rnacentral:rRNA from 1 species